GACGAACGCUGGCGGCGUGCUUAACACAUGCAAGUCGAACGGUGAAGCUCCAGCUUGCUGGAGUGGAUCAGUGGCGAACGGGUGAGUAACACGUGAGCAACCUGCCCCUGACUCUGGAAUAAGCGCUGGAAACGGCGUCUAAUACUGGAUACGAGAAGGGUCCGCAUGGGCACUUUCUGGAAAGUUUUUCGGUUGGGGAUGGUCUCGCGGCCUAUCAGCUUGUUGGUGAGGUAAUGGCUCACCAAGGCGACGACGGGUAGCCGGCCUGAGAGGGCGACCGGCCACACUGGGACUGAGACACGGCCCAGACUCCUACGGGAGGCAGCAGUGGGGAAUAUUGCACAAUGGGCGAAAGCCUGAUGCAGCGACGCCGCGUGAGGGAUGACGGCCUUCGGGUUGUAAACCUCUUUCAGCAGGGAAGAAGCGAAAGUGACGGUACCUGCAGAAGAAGCACCGGCUAACUACGUG
rnacentral:rRNA from 1 species